rnacentral:rRNA from 1 species
UAAUACGUAGGGACCGAGCGUUGUCCGGAUUCAUUGGGCGUAAAGAGCUCGUAGGCGGCCACUCAAGUCGAAUGUGAAACCUCGAGGCUUAACCUCGAGCCUGCAUUCGAUACUGGGCGGCUAGAGUCUGGUAGGGGGAUCUGGAAUUCCUGGUGUAGCGGUGGAAUGCGCAGAUAUCAGGAGGAACACCGGUGGCGAAGGCGGGAUCCUGGGCCAGUACUGACGCUGAGGAGCGAAAGCGUGGGGAGCAAACAGGAUUAGAUACCCUGGUAGUCCACGCCCUAAACGAUGUCGACUGGUUGUUGGGGGUUUGACACUCUCAGUAACGAAGCUAACGCGUGAAGUCGACCGCCUGGGGAGUACGGCCGCAAGGUUA